CCUGUUUUAACAAAAAAACAUCGCCUCUUGUUUAAAAUAUAAGAGGUUUAGCCUGCCCAUUGACCUAGUUCAUCGGGCCGCGGUAUCCUAACCGUGCGAAGGUAGCGUCCUCACUUGUUCUUUAAAUGAGGACUAGUAUGAACGGCAUCACGAGGGUUAUGCUGUCUCCUUUUUCUAAUCAAUGAAACUGAUCUCCCCGUGAAGAAGCGGGCAUAACAAUAUAAGACGAGAAGACCCUAUGGAGCUUUAAACUAUUAUAGCACUGGCCAAUCAACUCCAUGUUUCAGAACUACAACACCUAUUAUAGCCUUAAUGACUAUUAGUUUUAGGUUGGGGUGACCGCGGAGCAAAAAUUAACCUCCACAUUGAAAAGAACCUUUCUUGAGCCCAAAGCCACAACUUCAAGCACCAACAAACUGACAUACAUUGACCCAAGAAAUUGAGCAACGAACCAAGUUACCCUAGGGAUAACAGCGCAAUCCACUUCAAGAGCCCCUAUCGACAAGUGGGUUUACGACCUCGAUGUUGGAUCAGGGUGUCCCAGUGGCGCAGCCGCUACUAAUGGUUCGUUUGUUCAACGAUUUAAAACCCUACGUGAUCUGAGUUCAGACCGG
rnacentral:rRNA from 1 species